rnacentral:rRNA from 1 species
GAACGAGGAUAUAUCCUUCGGGAUAUAAGCCGAGUGGCACAAGGGUGAGCAAUGCAUAGAUUACCUACCUUUAGGAUAAGGGCAACUUUGUGAAAACGGAGCUAAUACUUAAUAAUACAAAAGAAAAUAAUUUUCUUUUGUCAAAGGGAGGGUAGCAAUACCUUUCGCCUAGAGAGGGGUUUAUGUCCUAUCAGCUUGUUGGUGGGGUAAUAGCCCACCAAGGCGAAGACGGGUAGCCGGUUUAAGAGGAUGGUCGGCCACACUGGGACUGAGACACUGCCCAGACUUCUACGGAAGGCUGCAGUCGAGAAUCUUUCGCAAUGCCCGAAAGGGUGACGAAGCGACGCCGCGUGGGUGAAGAAGGCCUUCGGGUUGUAAAGCCCUGUCAGGAGUUAUGAAAUGUAAGUGCGCUAAUAUCGUGCUUAUUUGACAAAGGCUCCAAAGGAAGCCACGGCUAACUCUGUGCCAGCAGCCGCGGUAAUACAGAGGUGGCGAGCGUUGUUCGGAAUUAUUGGGCGUAAAGAGCACGUAGGUGGGUUUGCAAGUCAGAUGUGAAAGCCUUCUGUUCAACGGAAGAAUUGCAUCUGAAACUGCUAAUCUUGAGUAUAGGAGGGGAGAAUGGAACUUCUGGUGGAGCGGUGAAAUGCGUAGAUAUCAGAAGGAACGCCGGCGGCGAAAGCGAUUCUCUGGCCUAUUACUGACACUCAGUGUGCGAAAGCUAGGGGAGCAAACGGGAUUAGAUACCCCGGUAGUCCUAGCCGUAAACGAUGGGCACUAAGUAGAGGGAAUUACCUAUAUUCUCUCUGCCGUAGCUAACGCAUUAAGUGCCCCGCCUGGGGAGUACGGCCGCAAGGCUAAAACUCAAAAGAAUUGACGGGGGCUCGCACAAGCGGUGGAGCAUGUGGCUUAAUUCGAUGCAACGCGAAAAACCUUACCGGGGCUUGACAUGAUAGAAGUAGGAACCUGAAAGGGGGACGAACGGUAUCCAGUCCGUAGCUAUCACAGGUGUUGCAUGGCUGUCGUCAGCUCGUGUCGUGAGACGUUGGGUUAAGUCCCCUAACGAGCGAAACCCUUGUUUUUAGUUACCAGCGGGUUAUGCCGGGUACUCUAGAAAGACUGCCGUCGUCAAGACGGAGGAAGGUGGGGAUAACGUCAAGUCAUCAUGGCCCUUAUGCCCCGGGCUGCACACGUGCUACAAUGGUCGGUACAGACGGAAGCGAAGCCGAGAGGUGAAGCGAAUCCUAAAAAGCCGAUCUCAGUUCGGAUUGGAGGCUGAAAUUCGCCUCCAUGAAGUUGGAAUCGCUAGUAAUCGCGGAUCAGCAAUGUCGCGGUGAAUAUGUUCCCGAGCCUUGUACACACCGCCCGUCAAGCCACCCAAGCAGGAUGCACCCGAAAACAUUAUAUCUAACCAGGGCAACUUGGAGGAAAAUGUUGAAGGAGUGUUUUGUGAGGAGGACU